ACGGCUCAACCGUAGUAAGCCUUUGAAACUGUAGGGCUUGAGUGCAGGAGAGGAGAGUGGAAUUUCUAGUGUAGCGGUGAAAUGCGUAGAUAUUAGGAGGAACACCAGUGGCGAAGGCGACUCUCUGGACUGCAACUGACGCUGAGGCACGAAAGCGUGGGGAGCGAACAGGAUUAGAUACCCUGGUAGUCCACGCCGUAAACGAUGAGUGCUAGGUGUCGGGGGUCGAACCUCGGUGCCGCAGUUAACGCAUUAAGCACUCCGCCUGGGGAGUACGUUCGCAAGAAUGAAACUCAAAGGAAUUGACGGGGACCCGCACAAGCAGCGGAGCAUGUGGUUUAAUUCGAAGCAACGCGAAGAACCUUACCUGGACUUGACAUCCCUCGGACAGCUUUUUAAUAGAAGCCUUCCCUUCGGGGACUGAGGUGACAGGUGGUGCAUGGUUGUCGUCAGCUCGUGUCGUGAGAUGUUGGGUUAAGUCCCGCAACGAGCGCAACCCUUGUCUUUAGUUGCCAGCAGGUUAAGCUGGGCACUCUAGAGAGACUGCCGGGGAUAACUCGGAGGAAGGUGGGGAUGACGUCAAAUCAUCAUGCCCCUUAUGUUCAGGGCUACACACGUGCUACAAUGGCCGAUACAACGGGCAGCCAAGGAGUAAUCCGGAGCGAAUCCUAUAAAAUCGGUCCCAGUUCGGAUUGUGGGCUGAAACUCGCCCACAUGAAGUUGGAGUUGCUAGUAAUCGCGGAUCAGAAUGUCGCGGUGAAUGCGUUCCCGGGUCUUGUACACACCGCCCGUCACACCACGGGAGUCGGAAGCACCCGAAGCCAGCUAUCUAACCGUAAGGAGGAAGCUGUCGAAGGUGAAGCCAAUGACUGGGGUGAAGUCGUAACAAGGUAACCA
rnacentral:rRNA from 1 species